rnacentral:rRNA from 1 species
ACGGGAGGCAGCAGUGGGGAAUAUUGCACAAUGGGCGCAAGCCUGAUGCAGCCAUGCCGCGUGUAUGAAGAAGGCCUUCGGGUUGUAAAGUACUUUCAGCAGUGAGGAAGGUGGAUAUGUUAAUAGCAUAUUCAUUUGACGUUAGCUGCAGAAGAAGCACCGGCUAACUCCGUGCCAGCAGCCGCGGUAAUACGGAGGGUGCGAGCGUUAAUCGGAAUUACUGGGCGUAAAGCGCAUGCAGGUGGUUUGUUAAGUCAGAUGUGAAAGCCCGGGGCUCAACCUCGGAAUUGCAUUUGAAACUGGCAAACUAGAGUACUGUAGAGGGGGUAGAAUUUCAGGUGUAGCGGUGAAAUGCGUAGAGAUCUGAAGGAAUACCGGUGGCGAAGGCGGCCCCCUGGACAGAUACUGACACUCAGAUGCGAAAGCGUGGGGAGCAAACAGGAUUAGAUACCCUGGUAG